rnacentral:rRNA from 1 species
GACGAACGCUGGCGGCGUGCUUAACACAUGCAAGUCGUGCGGUAAGGCCCUUUCGGGGGUACACGAGCGGCGAACGGGUGAGUAACACGUGAGCAACCUGCCCUUCCCUUUGGGAUAACUGCCGGAAACGGUGGCUAAUACCGGAUAUGACUUCCUCACGCAUGUGGGGUGGUGGAAAGCCUUCGGGUGGUGGGGGAUGGGCUCGCGGUCUAUCAGCUCGUUGGUGGGGUGAUGGCCUACGAAGGCUUCGACGGGUAGCCGGCAUGAGAGGGUGACCGGCCACAAGGGGACUGAGAGACGGACCAGAAUGCUACGGGAGGCAGCAGUGGGGAAUAUUGGACAAUGGGCGAAAGCGUGAGACAGCAACGCCGCGUGAGGGAUGACGGCCUUCGGGUGGUAAACCUAUUUCGCCGGCGACGAAGCGAGAGUGACGGUAGCUGGUAAAGAAGCACCGGCCAACUACGUG